CCCUUAGAUGUUCUGGGCCGCACGCGCGCUACACUGGUGCAGUCAACAAGCUUUCGCAACGAACCUUGGUCGGAAGGCCCGGGGAAUCUUCGAAACUGCAUCGUGAUGGGGAUAGAUUCUUGUAAUUUUUAAUCUUCAACGAGGAAUUCCUAGUAAACGCGAGUCACCAGCUCGCAUUGAUUACGUCCCUGCCCUUUGUACACACCGCCCGUCGCACCUACCGAUUGAAUGGUCCGGUGAAGCCUCCGGAUUGGCGCGCACCUCGGUGCCGCCGAGAAGUUGGCUAAACCUUACCAUUUAGAGGAAGGUGAAGUCGUAACA
rnacentral:rRNA from 1 species